GACAGGUACAGGGUAGAUACUGUACACAGAGAGAGAGACAGGUACAGGGUAGAUACUGUAAACAGAGAUGGAGACAGGUACAGGGUAGAUACUGUACACAGAGAGAGAGACAGGUACAGGGUAGAUACUGUAAACAGAGAGACAGGUACAG